CCAAAACCCACAGUGACCAUUAAACCUGCUCGACAUGUAUUCAGAGGAGAGACAGUCACUCUCAGAUGUGAAGGUGAAGGAGUCACUAGCUGGCGCUACAGAUGGUAUAAAGAAGGUUCAUUCAGGUUUGACACUAAACUACAGGAACACACAUUCAUUCCAUUUACUGAGUUUGACACAGGUAAAUACUCCUGUCAAGGAUCAGAGACAGAAGGAUCACGCUGGUCACAUGUGAGUGAUGAAGUUACACUGACAGUAUCAGAUCCCAGAGCAGUUUUAAGUGUUUCACCACAGACGUGGUUGACUGAAGGAGAUCCAGUGACUCUGAUCUGUCAGGUUCACAGCUUCUCUGCAGGCUGGACAUUCAGCUGGUUCACUUUAACUGUCUCAGCAA